ACUUCCGCCUCACUCGCCGUCCCCCCGGAAGUGGUUGCCGCCGGCCCGGAAGAAGAAUCCGCAGCCCAGCGUUCCCUUUUGGCGCACCCAUGUGGGUUCAUUCCCGUUUGUGUUCGGGGUAUUAUGAACCAGUGAAGCCUGGUUCAGUAGUCUCUAUAAGGCUCUCGCCUUCAUCUGAUGCUGAAGCUUGAAUUCUGCAGAGCAUGCAGGCAGGAAGGGAAGAUGAAUGUAAAGAGAGUGAGGACAAGCUGGAGCCCCUGGGAACAGACUGGAACUUCUAUCAGUCUCUCACUGCUCCCAAAGCUGGAUUUCUUUGUCGUAAAGGAAAUGCUUCCGGAGCUGGGACAGAAUGAGAUCCCCACACCACGGAGCGGAGCCAGCGGUUGCUAUGCUCCCCCAUUUAGAAGCCUCCAGGCUCGUCUCACGGGUCUGUAAUCCUGCCAGCUGGAGAGAGCGGCUGUUAACAUGUUGCUGUAUGUUCUUUCACUUUUUUCUUUCCCACGAGGCACAUAUUGAAUAGGAACCACUUAAAAAGGAAUUGCUUUGUACAAUAUUUAUAUAAUGACUAAACUAGGGUAAUUUUUGAAAACAUUUUCUUCUUUUCAAAUGAUACUUACUGCUAAAAUUUGGAAAUGCUAAUGUUUCUACAAAAUUUCAACCUAGAUAAAUAACUCCCAAAAUAAAAAGUGCUAAUUCACAAA